AACGCGAAGAACCUUACCAGGUCUUGACAUCCUCUGACACUCCUAGAGAUAGGACGUUCCCCUUCGGGGGACAGAGUGACAGGUGGUGCAUGGUUGUCGUCAGCUCGUGUCGUGAGAUGUUGGGUUAAGUCCCGCAACGAGCGCAACCCUUGAUCUUAGUUGCCAGCAUUCAGUUGGGCACUCUAAGGUGACUGCCGGUGACAAACCGGAGGAAGGUGGGGAUGACGUCAAAUCAUCAUGCCCCUUAUGACCUGGGCUACACACGUGCUACAAUGGAUGGUACAAAGGGUCGCAAAGCCGCAAGGUCUAGCCAAUCCCAUAAAACCAUUCUCAGUUCGGAUUGCAGGCUGCAACUCGCCUGCAUGAAGCCGGAAUCGCUAGUAAUCGCGGAUCAGCAUGCCGCGGUGAAUACGUUCCCGGGCCUUGUA
rnacentral:rRNA from 1 species